ACUCACGAUAGCUGCUACUUUGAGCGAUUACUGAAAGGAAAUCAACUCAAGAAAGGCAAUAAUUGGUUCAUGUUCUAGUUAGACUGGCGCAACUCGGGACGGACAAAGUCUGCAUCUGCUGGCACUGAAAUGUCUAAUGUGGGUCUCAGUUCAGCACAAACUUCAAUGGCUCCGUGCACUGGGUCUGACAUGAAGUUGCUGAUUAAGUCCUGGUUGAUAGGAGCUCCAUUGUCCACUGCCACCAAAGCCUGCUGAGUUAGGAUAUAAUCAAAUCUGGGGGCCCAUUUCCUUGAACCUAACCUUGCUGUGGUUGAGCAGUUGUCAACCAUGAAAGAAACACCCCGAGCAUGCAUGAAUGGAUUCAAAGAAU
rnacentral:lncRNA from 1 species